rnacentral:rRNA from 1 species
GGGUAACAUUGUGCUUGCACAGAUGACGACCGGCGCACGGGUGCGUAACGCGUAUAGAACCUACCUUUUACAGAGGAAUAGCCUUUAGAAAUGAAGAUUAAUGCCUCAUGGUAUUGUAGACUGGCAUCAGUUUAUAAUUAAAGAUUUAUCGGUAAAAGAUGGCUAUGCGUCCUAUUAGUUAGUUGGUAAGGUAACGGCUUACCAAGACAGCGAUAGGUAAGGGGUCCUGAGAGGGAGAUCCCCCACACUGGUACUGAGACACGGACCAGACUCCUACGGGAGGCAGCAGUGAGGAAUAUUGGACAAUGGAGGAGACUCUGAUCCAGCCAUGCCGCGUGUAGGAAGAAUGCCCUAUGGGUUGUAAACUACUUUUAUACAGGAAGAAACACUGGUAUGUAUACCAGCUUGACGGUACUGUAAGAAUAAGGACCAGCUAACUCCGUGCCAGCAGCCGCGGUAAUACGGAGGGUCCGAGCGUUAUCCGGAAUCAUUGGGUUUAAAGGGUCCGCAGGCGGUCGAUUAAGUCAGAGGUGAAAUCCCAUAGCUCAACUAUGGAACUGCCUUUGAUACUGGUUGACUUGAGUCAUAUGGAAGUAGAUAGAAUGUGUAGUGUAGCGGUGAAAUGCAUAGAUAUUACACAGAAUACCGAUUGCGAAGGCAGUCUACUACGUAUGUACUGACGCUGAGGGACGAAAGCGUGGGGAGCGAACAGGAUUAGAUACCCUGGUAGUCCACGCCGUAAACGAUGGAUACUAGUUGUUGGGAUUUAUCUCAGUGACUAAGCGAAAGUGAUAAGUUACCCACUGGGG